rnacentral:ncRNA from 1 species
GAGAGCGGUAUGCGAUGAAAGUCGCACGUACCGUUCGGCGGGGGGCCGUAGGAAAAGGACCUGCCCAGCAGGCACCUCGCCGGCGGCCUACCCGAC